rnacentral:rRNA from 1 species
UGCCAGCAGCCGCGGUAAUACGGAGGGGGCUAGCGUUGUUCGGAAUUACUGGGCGUAAAGCGCGCGUAGGCGGAUUGUUAAGUUGGGGGUGAAAUCCCGGGGCCCAACCCCGGAACUGCCCUCAAAACUGGCAGUCUUGAGGACGGAAGAGGCAAGUGGAAUACCGAGUGUAGAGGUGAAAUUCGUAGAUAUUCGGAAGAACACCAGUGGCGAAGGCGACUCACUGGCACAUUUCUGACGCUGAGGCGCGAAAGCGUGGGGAGCAAACAGGAUUAGAUA